rnacentral:rRNA from 1 species
GACGAACGCUGGCGGCGUGCUUAACACAUGCAAGUCGAACGGAAAGGCCCGGCGUUUGUUCGUUUGUCGUUUGGCGAACGGGGGAGUAACACGUGUGUAUCCUGCCCUUAACUGUGGGAUAACAUUUGGAAACUGGGGCUAUUAUCCCGUAUAAUCUCUUGCAGCGCAUGGGUGGAUGGUAAAAUUCGGUUGUGCUGGAUCGACUCGCUGGUUAUGCGCUGGAUUGGCGGGUAGUUGCUUUCAAAGGCUUUGACGGGUAGCCGGCAUGGGAGGGUUACCGGCCACAUUGGGACUGAGAUACGGACCAGAAGGCUACGGGAGGCAGCAGGGGGGAAUUUUGCACAACGGGCGGACGUCAGAUGCAGCAACGCCGCGUGCGGGAUGCCGGCCUUCGGGUUGUAAACAGAUUUCGAAUGUGCCGAAGAGUGCGUGACGGUAAUGGGUCAAGAAGCAACGGCUAACUACGUG